CGAGCGGACAGAUGGGAGCUUGCUCCCUGAUGUUAGCGGCGGACGGGUGAGUAACACGUGGGUAACCUGCCUGUAAGACUGGGAUAACUCCGGGAAACCGGGGCUAAUACCGGAUGGUUGUUUGAACCGCAUGGUUCAGACAUAAAAGGUGGCUUCGGCUACCACUUACAGAUGGACCCGCGGCGCAUUAGCUAGUUGGUGAGGUAACGGCUCACCAAGGCGACGAUGCGUAGCCGACCUGAGAGGGUGAUCGGCCACACUGGGACUGAGACACGGCCCAGACUCCUACGGGAGGCAGCAGUAGGGAAUCUUCCGCAAUGGACGAAAGUCUGACGGAGCAACGCCGCGUGAGUGAUGAAGGUUUUCGGAUCGUAAAGCUCUGUUGUUAGGGAAGAACAAGUGCCGUUCAAAUAGGGCGGCACCUUGACGGUACCUAACCAGAAAGCCACGGCUAACUACGUGCCAGCAGCCGCGGUAAUACGUAGGUGGCAAGCGUUGUCCGGAAUUAUUGGGCGUAAAGGGCUCGCAGGCGGUUUCUUAAGUCUGAUGUGAAAGCCCCCGGCUCAACCGGGGAGGGUCAUUGGAAACUGGGGAACUUGAGUGCAGAAGAGGAGAGUGGAAUUCCACGUGUAGCGGUGAAAUGCGUAGAGAUGUGGAGGAACACCAGUGGCGAAGGCGACUCUCUGGUCUGUAACUGACGCUGAGGAGCGAAAGCGUGGGGAGCGAACAGGAUUAGAUACCCUGGUAGUCCACGCCGUAAACGAUGAGUGCUAAGUGUUAGGGGGUUUCCGCCCCUUAGUGCUGCAGCUAACGCAUUAAGCACUCCGCCUGGGGAGUACGGUCGCAAGACUGAAACUCAAAGGAAUUGACGGGGGCCCGCACAAGCGGUGGAGCAUGUGGUUUAAUUCGAAGCAACGCGAAGAACCUUACCAGGUCUUGACAUCCUCUGACAAUCCUAGAGAUAGGACGUCCCCUUCGGGGGCAGAGUGACAGGUGGUGCAUGGUUGUCGUCAGCUCGUGUCGUGAGAUGUUGGGUUAAGUCCCGCAACGAGCGCAACCCUUGAUCUUAGUUGCCAGCAUUCAGUUGGGCACUCUAAGGUGACUGCCGGUGACAAACCGGAGGAAGGUGGGGAUGACGUCAAAUCAUCAUGCCCCUUAUGACCUGGGCUACACACGUGCUACAAUGGACAGAACAAAGGGCAGCGAAACCGCGAGGUUAAGCCAAUCCCACAAAUCUGUUCUCAGUUCGGAUCGCAGUCUGCAACUCGACUGCGUGAAGCUGGAAUCGCUAGUAAUCGCGGAUCAG
rnacentral:rRNA from 1 species